rnacentral:rRNA from 1 species
CCUACGGGUGGCUGCAGUAACGAAUCUUCCGCAAUGCACGCAAGUGUGACGGAGCGACGCCGCGUGGAGGUUAAGUCCUUCGGGAUGUAAACUCCUGUCAGGGGUAAUUGCCCCAGAGGAAGGCACGGCUAACUCUGUGCCAGCAGCCGCGGUAAUACAGAGGUGCCGAGCGUUAGGCGGAAUCACUGGGCUUAAAGCGCGCGUAGGCGGACGGGUAAGUACCUUGUGAAAUCCCACGGCUCAACCGUGGAACGGCUGGGUAUACUGCCCGUCUUGAGGCACUCAGGGGCGAGCGGAACAAAUGGUGGAGCGGUGAAAUGCGUAGAUAUCAUUUGGAACGCCGACGGUGAAAACAGCUCGCUGGGGGUGCCUGACGCUGAGGCGCGAAAGCCAGGGGAGCGAACGGGAUUAGAUACCCUUGUAGUC